rnacentral:rRNA from 1 species
GGAUUCUGAGAACAAGAAUCCAGGGCCUACGGGGCGCAGCAGCUACGAAAACUGCACAAUGUGGGAAACCACGAUGCGGGUAUUCCGAGUGACAACGCAUUGCGUUGUCUGUUCUUUCGCCUAAAAAGCGAGAGAAGUAAGGGCCGGGUAAGACGGGUGCCAGCCGCCGCGGUAAUACCCGCGGCCCGAGUGGUGCUCAUUAUUAUUGAGCUUAAAGCGUUCGUAGCCGGCCUCGUAAAUCCUUGGGUAAAUCGGGCAGCUCAACUGUUCGAAUUCCGAGGAGACUGCGAGGCUCGGGACCGGGAGAGGUCAGAGGUACUUCGGGGGUAGGGGUAAAACCCUGUAAUCCUCGAAGGACCACCAGUGGCGAAGGCGUCUGACUAGAACGGAUCCGACGGUGAGGGACGAAGCCCUGGGGCGCAAACGGGAUUAGAUACCCCGGUAGUCCAGGGUGUAAACGCUGCGGGCUUGGUGUCGGAGGUCCUACGGGGGCGUCCGGUGCCGGAGAGAAAUUGUUAAGCCUGCCGCUUGGGGAGUACGGUCGCAAGACUGAAACUUAAAGGAAUUGGCGGGAGAGCACCGCAACGGGAGGAGCGUGCGGUUCAAUUGGAUUCAACGCCGGAAGGCGAA